GAAAGGAAUACCGAUGGCGAAGGGCAGCUUCCUGGGCAUCAUACUGACUCUGAGGCUCGAAAGCGUGGGUAGCAAACAGGAUUAGAUACCCUGGUAGUCCACGCCGUAAACGAUGUCUCCUAGUCGUUGGGUCCCUUGAGGUCUUAGUGACGCAGCUCUCGCAAUAAGUAGACCGCCUGGGGAGUGCGGCCGCAAGGUUAAAACUCAAAUGAAUUGACGGGGGCCCGCACAAGCGGUGGAGCAUGUGGAUUUUUGCUGAUUCAGAAUGCUAAAAAAUAAAGUUGACUAUCUUUUCUUUUCGGGAAGAUUAUUAACUAUAANAAUUAUCAUUUAAGCCAGCAGAAAAACUCAAAGUUAAUUCAUUACGAACAUAUGGGGAANNGAUUUNGCC
rnacentral:rRNA from 1 species